ensembl:misc_RNA
UUUUGGGGCGGUGUUUACAGACUCUUCUUCUCUGCCUCCACCCUGCUCUCUUGGCCCGGGCUUCGAGCCUCUUCUGUUUUCCAGCCAGACCCAGAAAAACGAAAACACAGCUCGGGGAGCCCCCACCAGCCGGCGCCUGUGCCAGCUCACCUCUGGCCAUGGCGCAGCUGCUGGUGCACACAGCGGCCAAGGCCAGCUCCACAUUCCUCCCUCCCUCUCCCCCACUUCACCGGAGACGGAGCCCUGCAUGCAGAGGAAGGGCCCCAGCUCCACGGACUGCCAAAGUCGACUGGGUCCCUCCUCACCAAAAAUGGUGAGACAAGAUUUCAUCUUGUCUGCAGAGAAGCCACAAGCAG